rnacentral:lncRNA from 1 species
ACAUUACUUGGUGACUAUGAUAUGAGUGGGAUAUGGAGACUUCGUGAGGGCAUGCAAACUGAUUAUCAAGAUAUUAUUAAUUUUCAUAGUGGAAAAUUUCAAACAACUGAAUGCCUUAGAUUUACGGUAAGUAUUUUAUAGGUAGCGAAGUAUCUAUUUUCAUAUGAUAUAGCUUUUGAUAAUUGAACUAAAUUAAAUAUUUCCUGGUCUCUUAGAAGAAACAAUGAUUCUUUUAGUUAAAUUAUCAUGCUUAGUUUUUAAUUUAUUCUUCAACUUUUUCAUCCAUAAUUCCAUGUUACCUGUAAUGUUUAUUCUUCCACAGAUCUCAAAUUGUUUCUUUCACAAAUCUCAAAAUUUGAAUAAAAAGGCAAGGCUCUAUGA